UCUUAUGGAUGAGCAAAGAAAGUGGUUUCUUGAGAUGGAAUCUACCGCUAGUGAAGACACUGUGAA
rnacentral:pre_miRNA from 1 species